UUGUGAUGGCAGAUUUUAUAUUUAGUUAUGUUUCAUGCAAGGAAUGACAGUUAUAGAUGGGAAUGUUAUUCUGAGAUGUAUUUCUGUGGGUUUAGACUAUAACAUGUGGGGGUCAGCUUAGGAGACUCAGAUGUGUAUUCGUUAGAGAUUCGUCUGUGCCUCUGCUGGGACAAAAGGUUUUCACACCUAGACUCUUUCAUGGGUCAUCCAGCAGAGAUGGGGGUCUAAGAGAGACUUGGAGUCUAAGCAGAUGCCUGAUGUGUAGUGAGACUUUCGAAGGGGUCCUUCAUUCAGAUUGGAGGUGACCAAAUCUAAGCCUGAAGACAACACGCAGAGAACUGAUUGGAUAAACAUUCUACCUCUGUGAAAGGAGGGACUUAUUUAGUAUAAAUCAAAUGUGAUUCCAUUGUUCUGUGCCAUUGACCCCAGUCUGACUAAGUGACAGGGUGCUCUGGUCCCUAGCUGCAGCUAGGUAGAAUUGUAUGAACCAGAAUUGAUAAUUGUCUUUGCUGUGAAAUGUAAUAAAAUGUUCCAUUACAUUUGGCGAUUGUCGGCAGAGGCCAUCAUAUAGUGAACUCUGGCUCUUGGAGCUGACGGUAAGUAACUGCAUCGGGGCAGUACGUCUCGGACUAAACCUUCAUUUUACAGAGGGCCUGAUGUCCUGAGAGCGAGGAGUACUCACUAAGAUGACCGAAAGAACCGAGGGGGAUUGGCAAGCAAUUUCGUUCUGGUGAGUAAAAUUCUGAUUUCGAAAAAUAAACUAGGUUUAUAAGGGUUAAGAGAUUCACUCAUUUGUCAAAGUGAGGAGCAGACGUGCUUACAUAGCAAGGUUUUGGAAACCGGUGUAGAAUCCAAGAAGCUUCAGGGUUUGGAACCAAUAAAAGUUAACUGGGUUUAACAAAGUCAGGGUUUGGAACCAACAAGUUAACUGGGUUUAACAAAGUCAGGGUUUAGAACCACUGCAAAAAAAAACAACAAGUUAACUGGGUUUAACAAAGUCAGGGUUUAGAACCACUGCAAAAAAAAAAACAAAGCUCAACUGAGUCAAACGGAAUAGAUAUAGAUAUAUGGAGUGUUUAUUAAUUUAAACACAACUUUAAGAUUGAGCUCUGACGUCGAGUUUCAUGAUAAUUAUAACUAUUUUCAUAAAAUAGUAAUAGCAUUCUCAAGUAUUUAGUACCUGGAGGCGUAUAACUGGAGAGAAGUGUGUGUGUAGAGAUUUGAAUGAUAUUUCUCCAAAGGUAUCAGGAUGCACUAAGGGUAUUUUUUCUCAAUGUCUCUUAAGGGAGUGUUUUUUUUUUAGAUUGGUUGAAGGUAUAAGGUUACUAUAAACGUUACACAAGUGUUGCUGGUUUGAUUACGAGUGUCUGUACAAGUAACCUGUAAGAUUUGAUGAGACCAGUCUGAGAAUUUACAGCUGACAAAGAAAAAGAGAGGAGUGAGAGGAGUUCUUGAAAUUCUCAACACUGGAGCAAGAGACGCUGAAAAUGGCACAAAUAACAGCUUGGAGAUGCCAAGCCCGUGGAAGAGGGAGACAAAGAGGUUCAACAAAAACUUCAUCUAAGUAAGAACACUGACACACAUACACCAUGUGAAUUAAUGUUACAUAGAGCAGAUGAUUAACAUUAUAAGAGCUAAAUUAGAAAUUACUAUAGAGAGGCCCAUUGUGCCUUAGCUAAAUACUUUCACAAGAUUCAUGUGAACUAAAUUUAAAACAAACAAAUCAGAGUGAUUGGCAGAGACAUCAAAUAUAUUUGUAGAUUCAGGGAUUAGAAUCAACAUUAAAUAUAUGUGAAGAAUGUGAUAUCACUCUCAUAAUGAUUGUUAGAUAGCUCAUAAAUGAUGGGAAAACAUGUGCAAAAAGUGAUAGAGAGAUGCAUUUUUAUCAUUGUGUUUUUUAUAUGUGUUAGAGGUUAAAUACAAGAUUUAAACAUUUAUUUUGUUGUCACCAAGCUGCUUGAUAAAAACAACUAGAUUGGAGAGUAUGCUAAAUUUUGACACAACAGGGCAUUUGUUAGAACAAAAGUGGAAAUGACAUCUACAUUUAUUUAAAGGAGAGAGAGAGAGAGAGGGGGAUUUAACACUAGCAUAUCAAAGAAUGAUCCCAGACACCUUUCUCAGGUCUAAAGUAACAUCCUCGUGCGAAGAGCAGGGGGAGAAAUAAAUUAGAUCAUAAAAUGUAUUUUCUUAGAGGAAUUUAACCAUUUGGUAAGAGAACUUAGUUUAAAAAGCAUUUAUAGGAAAUACAUUGAGGAUAAUGUAAGUUUGAAAUUUGGACUAGUAAAUACUGUGUUGUUUUAGUAGUCUUUGAUAGACUCAUUGGCUAAAAGAUUUAUGAUUAACUUCUGAUUCAUAUGAAAGAUGAAUAAAACCAGAAACAAGAGUAAAGGUUUUAUAAUUUUGGAUUAAAUAGAGGAAAAAGACAUUUAAUCCCAAUAAAAUACAUGUAAGCACAUUAAAAUUUUUUAAAGAGGAUUAACAGUUAAUCGUAACCGAUUUUCUGUAUAGAUAAAUUAAAUAAGGAGUUUUUAACGCAUUUUUGAAUGUUAAGUAUCUUUGAGGUACUGGAUUGAUAUUUUUAGUUUGUUGUUGUAAAAAUUAAUGAUAUUUUCUAAGUUGAUACAGGUACCAUCAUGUUUGUGAACUGGUCACAAAAAUGGUAUUGGUCUGAUCAGAGGAGCAGACGCAAUAGAAAAGAAUAUUCUGUAAAUAUUCUUGUGGAAAGUGAAUUUUCUGUUUUAACAUACAUUUUUUUGUCUUCAAGGAUAAACCAAGGGAGGCAAAGCUUCAAACAUGUCUCAGAGCUAUGGUAGCUGCUGAGAGAACUGUUAUAUGUGAUGUGUGAUAUGUGAUACUUUGAAAUAAGACUUUACUAGUGUCAUAUGCUGUAACAAUGAUAUUGCUUGAGAAAAAAUGAUCACUUUUCAACAGCUAGGUGGUUCAGCUAGGAUACAGUAUUGUUUUUUAGAUGAUAGACAUUACUAUUACAGAUAGAAAGUGUUUAACUAGGAAACUCUUAGCUACAUCAGUAGAAGAGGUUUUAGACUAAACUAAAGCUUUUCUCCUGAAUUAGGAUUUAAAUGGUAAUCAAGCUGAUAAAUGUAAACGUGAAGUGUUUUGUGACUGUUUCAGCUUCAAAGGUUUCAGCAGUGUGAUAACAAAGUGGGUUACGACUGUGGGACACAGAGGAAAUCAACCCCCUUCACAUUAUAUGCAUUGACCAAAGAGAUGCAAAUAUGCUAGAGACGAGAGUGUCAAGAUUUACACUGACAGCAGGUUUGCAUGUGAUGGGGGGCUGAAUAGACAUUCAUGAACUUAACUUUAACACCAUUGUUUUUGCUUGACUGUGGUAUUUGUGUUUUGCAAGCAGUAUGCAGUUGGCCGAGAACAUGGAUUACGGUUUGAAGAUUUGAAUAUUGACAUUUGAUAUGGCUUAUAGGAGCUGUAAGCAAAGUUACAUAGGAACUUACAUUUUUUAGAAUUUAGACUUAAUACAUUUAGGAAUUAAGUAGUUUUGAUUAACGGGAGUUUAUUUGGUUGUUGAUUAGUUUAAAUGUGGGUCAUAAAGAUGAUUUUGAUAGUUUCAUUUUGAAUAUGUUUCUUCAUUAGGUUGGAUUGACACAAGACUGGUGUCUAAGUGUCAAAAGGGAGGAGUUACAUAUGAAAUGAAAUUAAAUAUAGGUAUAUUGAGUGUACAGACAAUACACACUUAAUAAUAUUCACUAAAACUUUUUAACUUUUUAGAAGAGUUGUGUGAUUUGAGUUACAAAAUAAAAAGGUAAAACAAUCUGGAUUCCACAAGGUGAACAUCCACCUCCAAAUAAACAACUUGAUCAUUCAUAAAGAGAUUUGAUAAAGAUAAAAAUUAUGUAAGUUAGGGAAAUGAAUAAAUACUGUUUUAUUUUCAUUGAAAUGUUUUCUAUGCAAGCAGAAGUUUCCCAACAUCUAAACAGGAUUCUUCAGCAGUGAAGGAGUCACUGCUCGGGAGAACUUAUCCAUGAUGGGAGAGUCUAAAAGGAUGUCCACUGAUAAUUGUACCCAAUUUGUAAGCGCAGCAUUAAGGAUGCUGGCAGAUGAAGGAGAAUCUAUUGGAAAUCCAUGGAAAGGGAGCUGCAUGCGAAGGAACCAGGAGAAUGGAUUGUACUGAAGGACGUGAGGAGAAAAGAUUGGAAGAGGACGUCGAUGGAACGAGUGCAAGCCAAAUGCCUCUCACCAGAGGGAUGACAAGUGAAGGUCGCUGAGAGGGCAACCUGGAGACAUGCGGGCCAACGCAGGAGGAUUUCGAUAGCCACGGGUGAAUUCUACAGGACGGAUAGUGCUUUGUGCCAGUGUGUGAGCCUUCAAUUGAUGGGUGUUGCAAUGUGAGGAAAACACAUUGAAGAGGGUCACUGCUGUCACAACCGCACAGACAGGGGAACAACGACAGAUGAUUUGGACGACUGAGGAGCAGUUCAGGGAAAAAUGGUUUCCCUACUACGGAUGCUUUUAUCAUCGUCUUGCCACCAACAUGUUAAAUGUGUUACUUUGGCAGGAGGAAUAAUACAAAUUCCUGAGCAUCUAUGGUCAAGAGCAAAUAGAGCUUAUGUUUAACUUUCCUGAUGAACUGAUAGAGCCUGGAGAGCUUCAUGGUAGGCGACCAUGAUGAUAACAGACAAGAUUCAACUCAUUGUGUGCGAGAAAAGCAUUCAACAGUGUGAGAGUCUCCACAAGGGAUGGUUUGGAGAGCUUGUCCCAUGGGGGGGCACUGUGAAGAACACACACACAGAUGAGCUGGCUCUAAGAGUUAGUUCAAGGACAUUAGGAAAUGAAACUCUGCAUCUACAGGAAGCUCUGAAAUAAGAUGUUCGUCAGCUGAAGGAGGACUUCGACACAUAUGAAGUGUGGCACAGUGAACAAUUCGAUAAUAUGGUGCAUAUUGUUAAAUGUAAGGUAAAAUGAUCUAUUGUCCAGAGAGAGAACAAGGACAUAUUCCUGAUGGGUGGGAAUUAAGGGUCAUGGUUUCUUUUGAAUAAUUGCUAAAUAUGUUAUUGAUUUGUUGAGACAGAUUCUGUUUUUUUUUAAUUAUGUACAGGUGUUACAAACUGUUAUAUUGUUUUUUUGUUAAGACUGUGGUUACUUCCUUAACCAAGUCUAUGAUUGGACAAAAUGUUCGAUUUCUUGAAACUCAUGUAUCCUGGACUCUUUCUAAAUAUAAUGAUAAGGUGUUAUGGAGAUGUUUGAGACAAUAGUCUCAAAAGGGAGGAUUGUGAUGGCAGAUUUUAUAUUUAGUUAUGUUUCAUGCAAGGAAUGACAGUUAUAGAUGGGAAUGUUAUUCUGAGAUGUAUUUCUGUGGGUUUAGACUAUAACAUGUGGGGGUCAGCUUAGGAGACUCAGAUGUGUAUUCGUUAGAGAUUCGUCUGUGCCUCUGCUGGGACAAAAGGUUUUCACACCUAGACUCUUUCAUGGGUCAUCCAGCAGAGAUGGGGGUCUAAGAGAGACUUGGAGUCUAAGCAGAUGCCUGAUGUGUAGUGAGACUUUCGAAGGGGUCCUUCAUUCAGAUUGGAGGUGACCAAAUCUAAGCCUGAAGACAACACGCAGAGAACUGAUUGGAUAAACAUUCUACCUCUGUGAAAGGAGGGACUUAUUUAGUAUAAAUCAAAUGUGAUUCCAUUGUUCUGUGCCAUUGACCCCAGUCUGACUAAGUGACAGGGUGCUCUGGUCCCUAGCUGCAGCUAGGUAGAAUUGUAUGAACCAGAAUUGAUAAUUGUCUUUGCUGUGAAAUGUAAUAAAAUGUUCCAUUACA